UGAGAGACUCCCCCGCCGAAAGACCAAGGGUUCCUGCUUAAAGUUAAUCUGAGCAGGGUUAGCCGGCCCCUAAGACGAGGCGGAAACGCGUAGUCGAUGGGAACCACGUUAAUAUUCGUGGGCCUGUGGGUAGUGACGGAUUGCACAAGUUGUUCGACCUUAUUGGAUUGGUCGGGCAGCGGAGCGGUUCCAGGAAAUAGCUCCCACUUAUAGACCGUACCCGAAACCGACACUGGUGGUCAGGUAGAGUAUACCAAGGCGCUUGAGAGAACUAUGUUGAAGGAACUCGGCAAUUUACCUCCGUAACUUCGGGAUAAGGAGGCCUCUGUCUUGGGCAACCAGGGCAGAGGGGCACAGACCAGGGGGUGGCGACUGUUUAUCUAAAACACAGGGCUCUGCGAAGUCUGUAAGACGACGUA
rnacentral:rRNA from 1 species